GAUUUGCCCUUCCGGACUCUCCCGCGCUCCACCGGAAUUCUCCAUCUUUCCAGGCCUAAUACCGGCGCUCCUCCUCCCCACCUCCCCCCCCCCCCCCCCGGAAGGCAAUGCGGGCACCAUUGCGCCCUGGGGACACUGGAGGGGCCUCUCCAUCCUGCCUCCGCCAGCCAGUGCACUGGCCUUCACCUUCCUUGGUCCUGGCGGUUUUCGUGCAGUGUCUCUAGUGGACCCUUCAAGAUUUCAAGCCCGAGGAAGCCUGGCUGGCUCAGUCGGAGGAGUGUGCUACUCUUGAUCUCCCGGGUCGUGAGUUAGAACCCUACGGAUCAGCUGCAAGUGCGUUCCCGUGCAGACACUACUGAUACAUUUUCAGAACUGAGCGACCAUGAAGGAAGACGAACCAUGAGGUGAGAACUACGUCUUGACCUCAAAGCUCUGUGCUUUUCGUCGUGGGAAGUCUCAGGAUUGUUCCUGACAGUUACACUUAAGAGCUCAUUACAGAUCAUUGGGCCGAAUUGGCACUGAGCCGCUAUGUGGGAAAUUGAUGAAAAUUUACAUCUAUAAAAGAGUGGACCAUUUCACAAUAUAUACAUAUAUCAAAUCAUUCUAUUGUUUACCUGAAACGAAUACAGUGUUAUAUGUCAAUAAAAAAUAGUACAUGUGCAGCGGG